CCGAGUUUACAAACUCCCAACCCUAUGUGAACCUUACCUAUCGUUGCUUCGGCGGGCUUAGCCCCCGCGCCCUCGCCGGCGCCGGGAAACAGGCGCCCGCCGGAGACCCAAACUCAAUGUUUUUCAUGCAGUAUUAUUCUGAGUGGCAAACGCAAAAAUAAAUCA
rnacentral:misc_RNA from 1 species